CUGAAACCAUCUGCCACAAAGGCAGCAUGUGACCCCAAACUCUGCAUUCUGGCACCUGAGCACCCCCAGCCAACAGUUUGCAUUGUCCUCUCCUUAUCCCUAAAUGAAAUUUAAUAGAUUUUACCUGGGAGGCCCAAAAUAGCUUGGGAUGUGGUUAUCAGAGGCCACUCCCUGUGUAAUACCGCUGAAAGUGAUAGCAGUUGGCUCUCUUCAAGCCCACAGUCUUUCCUUUAAAUGAUGGGCUCAUGGCUGCAGAAGAUUUUCCCUGCAACAUCUUCAGCCCUGUGGUCUGCUACAGCAAAGGUCUUGUCUUCAGCCUUCAGCCAAGGAGGUUGGGCUGGAAAUCCUGAAGCAGAGUAUAGAGAAAGAGCAUUUCCCUGAUUUGACUGGCCAUGAGAAAUUUUGGCUUGGUAAUGUCAAAUACAACAUCUCAAGGAUACAUGUUACUGCUGUUGAAUUACCCAGUGCUUCCAUCUCCCUCCUACCAGGGUCUGGGAUAAAACUGGUGAUUGGAAAUGCUUCUCUAACCAUUGAUAUGAACUGGAACAUAAGGACCUGGAUGUUCUUCCUGCCUAACUUCUUUAUCAAGUAUCUGAAGAAGCCCAUUCACAGGAGCUUGGUCACUAAUUCGUGUCCCAAUAUCAGAGCUGGGGUCCAGUUGAUAGAUGGAGACCUCCGAUCACCGAAUGCUGUAAUGCAGAUUGAUGAUUUGGCUGAAGUGGACUACUCCUUAAGUGGCUUGCCAGCAGUAUUCCAACCAUUCAUUGACCUGGACUCAAAGACCUGCAGCUAUUUUAAUAUAAACACAGAGAUAUUUAGCAGUAUCAUCCCUGAGGUAGCUAAAUAUUCAGUUACACCCUACCCAGUGAUGUUGAAGCUAAUGCCUACUGAAAUCCCUAUCAUCAGCUUACAGCAGAAUUCCUUCAUGGUAGAGAUUCAGGGCUCUGUGGAGGUGUUGGCCAUUCUGCCAGACUCAACCACCCAGUCUCUGUUCACACUGAACAUAGUAAGUACAACAAACAAG
rnacentral:lncRNA from 1 species